rnacentral:rRNA from 1 species
GGANUUGCGNAUGGGCGAAAGCCUGACGCAGCGACGCCGCGUGGGGGAUGAAGCUUCUCGGAGUGUAAACCCCUUUCGACUGGGACGAAUGCCUCGCAAGAGGAGUGACGGUACCAGUAGAAGAAGCCCCGGCUAACUACGUGCCAGCAGCCGCGGUAAGACGUAGGGGGCCAGCGUUGUUCGGAAUUACUGGGUGUAAAGGGUUCGUAGGCGGUGUGGCAAGUCGGGAGUGAAAUUUCUGGGCUUAACUCAGAACCUGCUUCCGAAACUGCUGUGCUCGAGUGUGGGAGAGGCGCGUGGAAUUGCAGGUGUAGCGGUGAAAUGCGUAGAUAUCUGCAGGAACACCCGUGGCGAAAGCGGCGCGCUGGACCACUACUGACGCUGAGGAACGAAAGCUAGGGGAGCAAACAGGAUUAGAUACCCUGGUAGUCCUAGCCCUAAACGAUCAGGACUUGGGGUGCCACCCGUUCGGGUGUCGUCCCGGAGCUAACGCGUUAAGUCCUGCACCUGGGGAGUACGGUCGCAAGACUGAAACUCAAAAAAAUUGACGGA